GUAAUCGUGGAAAGAACAAACGUGGACUGUGAGUCAUGGCCUGGACUUCUCUUUUGAUCACACUCCUGGCUCACUGCACAGGAGCCAUGUCCCAGGCAGUUGUGACUCAGGAAUCUUCACUCACCACAUCUCCUGGAGAGACAGCCACACUCACUUGUGGCUCAAGUACUGGGGCUGUUACUACCAAUAACUAUGCCAUAUGGGUCCAAGAAAAACCUUACCACAUACACAAGGGUCUUAUAGGUAGUACCAGCAGCCGAGCUCCAGGUAUUCCUGCCCGAUUCUCAGGCUCCCUGCUUGGAGACAAGGCUGUCCUCACCAUCACAGGGGCCCAGCCUGAGGAUGAGGCUGUGUAUUACUGUGCUCUGUGGUUCAGCAACCAUUUCCACAGUGGCACAUGCAGAUGGGGAAGUAGAACACAAACCCCCUGGUACAGCCUCCUAACUGUCUUCUUACCAUGUGGCUAUAUCUCCCUAAGCUCAGAGUGCCUGUUUGGUAACCAUAGAGAACUUCAUAGAAGCUAUUAA